GGUUGUGUAGUGUAAUGGUUAGCACCCGAGAUUCUGAUUCUCGUAAUCCCGGUUCGAUCCCGGGCACGACCU